UACGGAGGGGGCUAGCGUUGUUCGGAAUUACUGGGCGUAAAGCGCACGUAGGCGGCUUUGUAAGUUAGAGGUGAAAGCCCAGGGCUUAACCCUGGAAUUGCCUUUAAGGCUGCAUCGCUAGAAUCGUGGAGAGGUAAGUGGAAUUCCGAGUGUAGAGGUGAAAUUCGUAGAUAUUCGGAAGAACACCAGUGGCGAAGGCGACUUACUGGACACGUAUUGACGCUGAGGUGCGAAAGCGUGGGGAGCAAACAGG
rnacentral:rRNA from 1 species